GUAGGUUUAUUACCCAUACAACAGUAUUUAUUUAAAAGGGUGGUGCGGGUUUAUCGUCCACGCCUUUACUUCUAUUUAAAUGUAUGUAGCAGAAUUAGUGCCCAUACAAGCACCAUUUACUUUACCGCACAUUUAAUUUUAUUUAAAGUAUGGUGCGGGAUUAAUGUCCAUACAGCAAGCAAUUUAAUUUAUGAAUUUAAUUUACCGCACAUUUAUAUUUAUUUAAAAGGGUGGUGCGGGUUUAUCGUCCACGCCUUUACUUUUAUUUAAAUGUAUGGAGCAGAAUUAAUGCCCAUACAAGCACCUUAACUUUAUGAAUUUAAUUUACCGCACAUUUACAUUUAUUUAAAGUGUGGUGCGGGUUUAUCGUCCAUACCAGUAAUUUAUUUACCAGCAAUUUAUUUUAUGGACUAAAUGUGCUGUAUGAUGAGUUUUUACAAUAUGCAGAUCA
rnacentral:lncRNA from 1 species